rnacentral:lncRNA from 13 species
GGAGUAUGUCAUUACAAUUCAACCAAUUCAGAAUUAUCAAGGGCCUAUUAUGUUGAAGGCACUGGACUAUAAUAGACCAACUGAAUUAACAAUACUAGAAAUAGCCCCACGUCUUCUAAUUUUUUUUCAAAUUCAAAACAAAUUCCUGCGCAUUUAUUUCCACCACAACAAGGGCUGAGCAUAUUGGCUAUCCAUUCAAAAUGAGCUCUCAGUUUUGAAGAGGGCUUCGGAAUCUUCACAACAAACAAGGGAGGGAAGAUUCUGUGCUCUCAGGCCAGAAAAGAGAGGAUUAAACAGCAGUGGGUGGCAGCUGGUCAGUUUACCAGACAAUUCUAAUGUGGAGAUGUUUCUAAAAAGAGAGUGGAGAUUUUCCAUUCCAGCCUGGGAGCUGGCCCAUGCUUGCAGAACAAGUGCAGGCUCAGCUUCUGCCAGGCACCAGUAAAACUGGAAAGCAUGCUGAAAGCAGAUGCUAUUAAAAAUCAAACAGGAAAUUGUGCUACCCCAGAACCUCCUGGAUAGUGAAGUCAAGACACCCAGUAGAGAGUGUAAAAAUCAAUGCCAGGUCAACGAUGAAGUCACCAAACCUGGUUUGGAUCAGUGAUUUUUCUGGGGAAUUGUGGAUCCAGCAGACCAACAAUCUCAUAGCUCAACCAAUGACAGAUACCACAAGAGAAAUAAUUUUCACACUGAAGUCACCCAACACCAUGAGCAAACAAGUUACAAGUGUGGAUGGAAAAGCUCUUGUUUCUGCAGCUCAUGGGUGAGAGAAGCCUGCUGACUGGGAAUUACUUACACUGCAAGUCAGAAGACGCUAUAGAAUCGGGUGACAUAUGGCCCUCGGGCCUCUCACUUCUGUGAUUGGCAGGUCACACUCUCUGGUUUUUUGACUAAGGCCUGUCACAGUUGAAAAGACAGCUAGUGAAAUGGUUUUCACUUCACUGAGGGCUAUACCACAGGUCACCCAGUGCUGCCACCCUCACAGUGAAAUGCUGCAAUGCGUCUUGGUUAAGGACAAUGCUGAGGGUAGUUUCACUUGACUGUGUGUCGCUGCUGGAUGAAAUGGUUACCAAAUGGACUAAUGAAAAAAAGAGGAAAUACUGUAUGCUAUAGAGAUUUGCUAAAGCUGACAAAGGAUGUAUUAUUUAUUAACAUGCUUAUACAGAAGCUGGAAUCACACCUUAGUAAAUAUAAGAAAUAAGUAUAUCCAAAAUCAAUUCUAUUUUUGGGUAAGAAUUAAGAAGCAAACAAGGGAAAUACCUCAUUAACAUCCUAAUUAAUAGGAAAUUUGUAAAGAAAAUCUAGAAAACCAUGAGUGUCUUCCAGGGGAUAGAUUUGAUCUGAUUUGAUAGAAUCAAAUCAUUUGGCUACAAACCUCUGCAGAGUUUCUCCAGCUUGUAUACAUUACACAACAGUAUAUCUUCAUUAAUGCAAAUGUAUAUUUAAUUGUCCCUAGAAUG